UCAGGCAUACGCCCUGACCGGGAAUCGAACCACAACCUCCUGAUUGAUGCUCAACCACUAAGCUAUGAGGGCUGCAUUUAUUUCUUAAUAACUUCACUGAAACAACAGCAUCCAUGGAGCAGAGUUGGAGGGACUGAAGCAUUGGAUGGCUAUGAAGUAAUUUGAGAUUGAAGGAGAUACUGCUGAAGGAAUUACACACAGAAAGUGAGAGGUAGAGUUUGCUUGAUUUGGAAAAUAAGUAUUAAAUUUAUUUAUUUAUUUAUUUUUGAAAAUGAGUAUUUUAAAUAGUCUGCUUCAGUCCAGUGUGGAUGGCUAGUAUAAUUAGAUAGGAGUCAAGUUCAGAACAAACACUGACAAAGGACAUAUAAUUUCAUAGUAGGAAGAUUAAGGUCAAUAAUAAUAGUGAACAUUUAUUGAUUUAAAAAUAUAUGUUAGGGAAAUUCACAAAUAAUCUGCAAUAACUUGAAAUGCAUACCCUUUGGAACACUUCCUUUUCUCAUGUAUAAAUUAAAAUGUUUGCUGCCUUUUGCAAAAUGUCA